rnacentral:rRNA from 1 species
AUGCGCGGCCUUGCCAAAGAAGGUGUGGACGCCGGUGGCGAUGACGACGGCCUCGAUCUCGCCCUGCUUGCACGUGGAGCCGGAGUAGACGCUGUCGCCGGGGAGCUUGUUGACGGGGAGGGACUCGCCGGUGAGCGCCGACUGGUCGAUCUUGAGCGGGUCGCCCUCCAUCAGCCGCGCGUCCGCCGGGAUGAUGUCGCCCAGCUUGAUGCUGAUGAUGUCGCCCGGCACCAGGAUGGCCGCGUCCUGCUCCGCCCACUUGCCGUCCCGGAGCACCUUGGUCUGCGGCGCCAAGCUGGCCAUGAGCGCGGCCGCCGCGUUGCCGGCGUUGUUCUCCUCGAUGAAGCUGAUGGUGGAGUUGAUGAUGAGCAGGGUGACGAUGCCCACGAAGUCCUGCCAGUCGGGGGGCUUGCCGCCGCCGUUGGCGAGGACGAUGGCCAUGAUGGCCGCCGCCUCCAUGACCCACGACAGAGGGUUCCACAUGAACCCUAG